rnacentral:rRNA from 1 species
UACGUAGGGCGCAAGCGUUGUCCGGAAUUAUUGGGCGUAAGGAGCUCGUAGGCGGCUUGUCACGUCGAUUGUGAAAGCUCGGGGCUUAACCCCGAGUCUGCAGUCGAUACGGGCUAGCUAGAGUGUGGUAGGGGAGAUCGGAAUUCCUGGUGUAGCGGUGAAAUGCGCAGAUAUCAGGAGGAACACCGGUGGCGAAGGCGGAUCUCUGGGCCAUUACUGACGCUGAGGAGCGAAAGCGUGGGGAGCGAACAGG